rnacentral:rRNA from 1 species
CGCCUCUUGCAAAACCAAAGAAUAAGAGGUCCCGCCUGCCCAGUGACAACAGUUCAACGGCCGCGGUAUUUUGACCGUGCGAAGGUAGCGUAAUCACUUGUCUUUUAAAUGAAGACCUGUAUGAAUGGCAUAACGAGGGCUUAACUGUCUCCUCUUUCCAGUCAAUGAAAUUGAUCUCUCCGUGCAGAAGCGGAGAUAAAAACAUAAGACGAGAAGACCCUAUGGAGCUUUAGACACAAAGACAGAUCUUAAACACCCCCCAAUAAAGGCCUAAACUUAAUGAUCCCCUGUCCUAAUGUCUUCGGUUGGGGCGACCAUGGGGAAACACAAAUCCCCCAUGUGGAAUAGGAGGACAAUCCCAUAUUAUUUUCCUCUCCUCCCACAAGCAAGAGCCACAACUCUAGCUAACAGAACUUUUGACCUUAUAUGAUCCGGCGCACGCCGAUCAACGGACCAAGUUACCCUAGGGAUAACAGCGCAAUCCCCUUUUAGAGCCCAUAUCGACAAGGGGGUUUACGACCUCGAUGUUGGAUCAGGACAUCCUAAUGGUGCAGCCGCUAUUAAGGGUUCGUUUGUUCAACGAUUAAGUCCU